UACAGAGGGGGCAAGCGUUAUUCGGAAUCAUUGGGCGUAAAGGGUGCGUAGGCGGUCGUGCAAGUCGGAUGUGAAAUCUCAGGGCUCAACCCUGAAACUGCAUUCGAUACUGCGCGGCUAGAGUGCUGGAGGGGAGACUGGAAUUUACGGUGUAGCAGUGAAAUGCGUAGAUAUCGUAAGGAAGACCAGUGGCGAAGGCGAGUCUCUGGACAGCAACUGACGCUGAGGCACGAAGGCCAGGGGAGCAAACGGG
rnacentral:rRNA from 1 species